rnacentral:rRNA from 1 species
AUUGAACGCUGGCGGCAUGCCUUACACAUGCAAGUCGAACGGCAGCACGGGUGCUUGCACCUGGUGGCGAGUGGCGAACGGGUGAGUAAUACAUCGGAACAUGUCCUGUAGUGGGGGAUAGCCCGGCGAAAGCCGGAUUAAUACCGCAUACGAUCUACGGAUGAAAGCGGGGGACCUUCGGGCCUCGCGCUAUAGGGUUGGCCGAUGGCUGAUUAGCUAGUUGGUGGGGUAAAGGCCUACCAAGGCGACGAUCAGUAGCUGGUCUGAGAGGACGACCAGCCACACUGGGAAUGAGGACAGGCCCAGGACUCUUAGGGGGGGAAGAGGGGGGAAUUUGGGGAAAUGGGGGAAAGGCCGAGCCAAGAAUGGCGCGGUGUGGAAAAAAGCCUUCGGGUUUGAAAGCACUUUUUUCCGGGAAGAAAUCCUUGGCUUUAAAAAAGGCGGGGGAAGACGGGCACGGAAAAAAAAGCCCCGGCUAAAUACG